GGCACCUUGGCCUAAUGGUAAGGCGUUGCUUUCCGGUGGCAAAGAUUGUGGGUUCGAGUCCCACAGGUGUCGC
rnacentral:tRNA from 1 species